GGUGAAUGAGAUUCGUGAAUGACGAGCGGCUAAGUCAGCUCCGGGUUGCGAGCUGCCUAGGUGAACUGCCGAGUUUUCCUGUCCAGGCAGCAAGGCUCAGAGGUCCUAAGACCCCUUUGGCUUUCUGCCACAGAGGCACUCCAGAGACGGACAGAUCUCUUCCCCACACGCCCCGCCCCCUGCUUACAGUAGCUGUGAGUAAUCCUAAAGGAAGCUGAUGGGGGAAGCCCUGCACGGCUGUGGGAAUCUAGUAAAUAGGUGCCCGUUGCUGGCUGGGCCACAAGAUAACCCAAGGUUCCGGUCACCUUUGGUCCCUCUGCUGUGAUUUAUGGCUUACAGGAGGUCCAUCUGGUUCCCACAUGUGAACUCUCAGGCUUCAUUGGAACAGCCGUGGUUAUUCCCGUACGUAAUUACACCAUAAUGAGUUUCAACUUCCCCUUCGAGCUCAAGGGAAUGCUGGAAUCCCCCGACUUUCUCCUCAAGUCACCCUUGACUUUGUCUGACCUUCUGUACAGGUUUUGCUUCCCAGUCCAACUGAAUCUGUGCCUGAAGAGAGACGUUUUCUGAGAAAUGAUCCACAUCCCUGUCCUCCUUCCUGGACCAUCGCUGGCAGAUGCUGGCCGGAAACAAGCAUUCUCUUGUCUUUACGGGAAUGGCAUCCUUGUGGCUCUUGCUGGAAUCAGCAGAUGGAAUGAUGGCUCCGUGAUUAAAAGCACUGACUGCUCUUCCAGAAGACCUGGGUUCAAAUCUCAGCACCCACAUGGUGGCUGACAUUCAUCUGUAACUCCAGUUUGAGGUGAUCUGACAUCCUCUUCCAGCUGAUGGAGACCCUGUACACAUGUGAUGCACAGACAUGCAUGCUGGUAAAACAUAGAUAAGAGUCGGUACAUCCUCAUGUAAAAUGAAGUUGUCUCACUACACCCGAUAGCCAUACACAGUAAUUACCUUCUAUUUUCUAAACCAAAUCCCCUGGUUUUGGCAGACUACCGAACUACAAGGUACAUAACCGAAGAGGAAAUAGUUUUUAAACCGAAGUUCUUCUUUGUUGUUUUAUUUUGAGAUACAGCUGACCGUGCUGACAAGUUAAGUUUGAACCACUCAGAUAGAUUAGUCUUAGAGCCGGAAACCCAUAUCACAUGAUCUCACAGUGGAAGCUGAUAUACCCUCCUCCAUCAGGACUCCGUAGCUCUAAUGCAUAGAACACGGGUGAACUGGGUACAGCUCAUUGCCCAUGGGAUCUUGAUUCAUCCAAUGGCUUGUUUUAAGUCUCAGUGUUCUCUUGCAUUAAAAAAAUGAAAUAAAAUAGUAGGAGCAUGGCUCUCACCUUCUCGUGGAGCUGCUAAGAAGUCGGGUGUGGUCAUGUGACUUUGAUCUGGAAGCUGCCAAGACAGGCAAGGUGCCCACACAGUUGCCAUGAAGUUACAGACAAUGGCUGCAUUCUUCAGAGAUGGGGCCAAGACAGUGGUGGAAAAUGCAUACUGCCAGUGCCUUGGCUAAGAGAUGUCGGGGAAAGGUAGUUAGGAGGUUAGAGAAUGCCUUUGGGAAAAAUCUCACUUUAUGUAGUCAAUUGGAAAGCAGACAACCCUGUGUUUUGGGGGAGAAAAUAGGAGGAGGAGGAGGAGGAGGAGGAGGAGGAGGAAGAAGAAGAAAAGAAGAAAAAGAAGAAGAAGAAAAGAAGAAAAAGAAGAAGAAGAAGAAGAAGAAGAGGAAGAAGAGGAAGAAGAAGAAGAAAAAGCAGCCAUGAACAGCUAAGGUGCUUGCUAAAAACAUGGUAAUAGGGGAAGAAAUGGGGACUCCUGAAAUGUAAAGUCACUGGAAACAAAGACUAAACUGCCUUCAAGUGUGGAACUGCUCAGAUUCCAAGCAGUAUCUCACCUAUGUCUCUUAGACUACUCUAAGAGUGGUUGUGUAUGACAGGAGUGUGCUCAAAGGUCCCUGGAAGUCUGACAAUAAGGACCUCUACAUCACCCAGGAGCAGUGAGAUUGGGCUCAAUCCUAAAAUCCAGCUUUACCUGCUGGGCUCAUACCCAAGGACUCUGGUUCCUACUACGGAGACACAUAGCCGUCCGUAUGGACAGCUGCUCUAUUCACAAGAGCUAAGACAUGGAAACAGCCCUGACGCCCAUGAGCUGGUGAGUGCCUAGUGGAGAUGUGGUGCAGAAACGCAGUGGAACUUUCUACAGCUGUGGAUACAAACAAAGCCGUGAGAUUUGCAGCUAAGUAGUCGGAGCUGGAAACAUAGAUUGAGUGAGGUAACCUUUGAGCCUGGGAAGAACCACCCUUACUUGACACUAGAGGUAGACAUUACCACACUCUAAUUUGAGUAGCAAAUGUCUCCACAACCUCGUGUGACUGAACAUUUGGUCUCCAGGUGGUGGCACCAUUUGGAAGAGGCUGUUUAAACUCUAGAAGGUGGGUUCUAACAGGAGAAAUUUCUGGGGGUUGGGGGUUGGGUGCUGGAUAUGAUAGUGUGAUGGGUUGUAUAUGCUUGGCCCAGGGAGGGAUACUAUUAGAAGGGGUGGCCCUGUUGGAGUUGGUGUAUCACUGUGGGGAUGGGCUUGGAGACCCUCCUAGCUGCCUGAGGAUGCUCAGUCUGUUCCUGGCUUCCUUCAGGUGGAGAUGUAGAACUCAGCUCCUCCUGCACCAUGCCUGCCUGGAUGCAGGGAUGCUGCCAUGUUCCCUCCUUGAUGAUAAUGGACUGAACCUCUGAACCUGUAAGCCAGCCCCAAUUAAAGGUUGUCCUUUAUAAAA